GGCCGGCAGAAUUGGUUACCGCGUCUGACUACGAAUCAGGAGGCUGUAGGUUUCGAAUCCUAUCAUGGCUA